AGCGGGGUGGCCCAGUGGAAGGCCUGUAAAUCCAAAGACCUGGGUUCUGAUCCCGGCUCUGCUG
rnacentral:tRNA from 1 species